ensembl:snoRNA
GCAUGGCCGAAUUCUGUUCCAUCCGGUCAGUGGUGGAUACAGUCAGACACCAUGCAAAAGUCUCGUCUCAUUUCUGCUAAAUGACAGGAGGAGUGCUGCUCUGAGCCUCCUCCAGCUGUGCAGGAAUGAGUACAAUG